rnacentral:sRNA from 1 species
UUCUUUUCCACAACCACAGAUCUGUGUCCAGCGGCCCCUUCAGUCUUCGGGCUGUAAGGUCGACUGCUGCGGCAGUUCGUUCGUUCCAAGGAGCCACCUGCCUUCACCGGUUUCUAUGGUGUCAAUUUCCGAUCGACAGGUCUCAGAGUGAUUGGGCCACCACGAAACCUGAAUUCGCUGUCACAGGUUUGAGUUCGGUGGACGGUGGUGCUGAGGACGUCACAUUCCAAUUCCUUUCGCCGAGCCCGUUGGGCUGUGAGGUUUAGGACUAACCGUUUCGACUACAUAC